UGGGGAAUAUUGCACAAUGGGCGCAAGCCUGAUGCAGCCAUGCCGCGUGUAUGAAGAAGGCCUUCGGGUUGUAAAGUACUUUCAGCGGGGAGGAAGGGAGUAAAGUUAAUACCUUUGCUCAUUGACGUUACCCGCAGAAGAAGCACCGGCUAACUCCGUGCCAGCAGCCGCGGUAAUACGGAGGGUGCAAGCGUUAAUCGGAAUUACUGGGCGUAAAGCGCACGCAGGCGGUUUGUUAAGUCAGAUGUGAAAUCCCCGGGCUAACCUGGGAACUGCAUCUGAUACUGGCAAGCUUGAGUCUCGUAGAGGGGGGUAGAAUUCCAGGUGUAGCGGUGAAAUGCGUAGAGAUCUGGAGGAAUACCGGUGGCGAAGGCGGCCCCCUGGACGAAGACUGACGCUCAGGUGCGAAAGCGUGGGGAGCAAACAGG
rnacentral:rRNA from 1 species